rnacentral:tRNA from 1 species
GGGCCUGUGGUCUAGUGGCUAUGACAUCACCUCGACACGGUGAAGGUCCCCAGUUCGAAUCUGGGCGGGCCCA